GAUGAACGCUGGCGGCGUGCCUAAUACAUGCAAGUCGAGCGAACGGACGAGAAGCUUGCUUCUCUGAUGUUAGCGGCGGACGGGUGAGUAACACGUGGAUAACCUACCUAUAAGACUGGGAUAACUUCGGGAAACCGGAGCUAAUACCGGAUAAUAUUUUGAACCGCAUGGUUCAAAAGUGAAAGACGGUCUUGCUGUCACUUAUAGAUGGAUCCGCGCUGCAUUAGCUAGUUGGUAAGGUAACGGCUUACCAAGGCAACGAUGCAUAGCCGACCUGAGAGGGUGAUCGGCCACACUGGAACUGAGACACGGUCCAGACUCCUACGGGGGGCAGCAGUAGGGAAUCUUCCGCAAUGGGCGAAAGCCUGACGGAGCAACGCCGCGUGAGUGAUGAAGGUCUUCGGAUCGUAAAACUCUGUUAUUAGGGAAGAACAUAUGUGUAAGUAACUGUGCACAUCUUGGCGGUACCUAAUCAGAAAGCCACGGCUAACUACGUG
rnacentral:rRNA from 1 species